CUCUUAUCCCGAGCUGGUGGAGGGUCAGGCCCUAUGAAACCCGGCAACCUGCAUUUCAUUUCACGAGAUGCGCUGGUGCUAAUCUGAAUGCAAGGAUUCAUUCCUUGAACGAUAAGAG
rnacentral:ncRNA from 2 species